AAGGUAGGGGACAGCGAGAGCGCGAAGAAUGAGCGCUCCACGCAUUCAUAAGUGCCAACACAACUGAAGGAACGCUGAAUGUUGAGUGUUAAGUAUUAGAUAGUGGCGGACGGGUGAGUAACGCGUGGGUAACCUACCCAUAAAGCCGGGACAACCCUUGGAAACGAGGGCUAAUACCGGAUAAUCUUAGAUGUUGGCAUCAACGUCUAAGGAAAGGUGGCCUCUGAAGAUGCUGCCGAUUAUGGAUGGACCCGCGUCUGAUUAGCUAGUUGGUGGGGUAAAGGCCUACCAAGGCGACGAUCAGUAGCCGGCCUGAGAGGGUGAACGGCCACACUGGGACUGAGACACGGCCCAGACUCCUACGGGAGGCAGCAGUGGGGAAUCUUCCGCAAUGGACGAAAGUCUGACGGAGCAACGCCGCGUGUAUGAUGAAGGUCUUCGGA
rnacentral:rRNA from 1 species